rnacentral:lncRNA from 1 species
AUCUUGCUGCUUACAUAACAAAUACUUCAUCAACAAACCUGUCUCCCAUUUAUUUCUCUUCCUGUCUUUCUUCCGUCCUCUGGCCUUUGACCUCUCUCCUUCCUCUUCUCAACUUCUUUGCCUUUCUCCUCCGCACCCUCCUUCUCUCCCCUCCCUCCCCAGUUCUCAAUGCUGAGAGCCUCUAAAUGGGUUCCUCUCCUGCUCUCCCCAGCCCCCUGCCUUGGUGCUGUGAGGUCCUCAGGCCCUGAGAGGGAGGUGGGUCACCAGCAGCCACAGAAAGUCAUGGCAGUAGGUUGAUCACCGGAAGCAUGGCUAAGACUGAGUCCAGGUGUGGCUGGGGCUUUGUGACACUCUUUUUUUUUUUUUUUUUUCUGUUUGUCCUGGACACUGGACACUGGCUGGAGGAAUGAGGCUUGGAAGCAGGAAGCAAAGGAUCAGCUCAGAGAGAAGGAAGAGUGCUGCCCCAGACACAGCGGGUGCCCCAUCUUCUUCAGUCAUCAGCAAUGAAAGACCUCGGCUGACUUCAGUUUUCCAGAUGAAAACAUCUGUACAACACCUGCAGGACACUGAAAACCUGCAGCUGCUAGGACAGAGGCUUCUUAGAACUCACCUGCCUGGAGGACCAACACUGCCCAGCAUCUGCCAUCUGUGUGUUUGGAAAGGAGCUAAUGGGACUCUGUCACCACCUGCUGGCAUGGAGUGGAACUGCAACCCUGCUGUACUAGGCACUGCAAACUGUUCCAGUAAAGAACGGGGGUGGGGGUGGGGGUGGGGGUAUGGAAAAUUCUGUAGAAAUAAACAUGUUUUCUCC